rnacentral:lncRNA from 1 species
AUGGGUCAGUCGCCGUCAUCAGAGGGCUCAGGGGUAUCCGACACCUCUGAUUCUGAAAUGAAGGAGUGCUCUCAGGAAGAAGGGACUGGUGGGAGACUUAGCCCGGAGCCCUGCGACGGACUCUUUUUCCAGGAGGAGAAGGCGGUGAGUGAGGGGUUAACAGAACCUGUGUCACACCCAGGGGGCCUCCCCGACCCACCGCCGAUAGCGCACGGUGAUGUCAUUGGGGGGCCUGAAUCCGCUGUUCCAAGUCUCCUGAUAGAAGGCCUCCACGAGGGGGAACCUCCGCCAGACAUAAACAGCCUGGAACAAAACCAGGAAACAGCUGGCGGGGAUUACGCCACAGAUCAGCCGUGGGGCUCGGCUCCAGAAACUGGGAACGGUACGAGAACAGUGAGCGGUGAAGAGCUCGACGGUGAAGAGCUCGAUGGUGAAGAGCUCGAUGGUGAAGACGCAGCUGAACCUGGACCCGGAUACAGUAUCGAAAGCACCUGUUUGCCCAUGGAGGAACCGGACGUUACAGCUGAUAACCGGACUGCUGUUAACUGCACGGAAGAUCAAUCACCCGGGAUGACAACCAGCUCCGGCAGUAGACUCGCCGAUCACGACCCGGGGACGACCCAAGGCGUCUCCAGCGACGACGACGGCAGUUUCCGCUCAGUCGGAAGCUCCACGACAGAAAUAUUCCACCCCACUCUGGACAGCGCUCUUAUGGAGGACGAGGACGCGCUUCAAACCGCGAUGGCAGAUCUCUCAUCAGCAAGAUUCACGAUGGAGGAACCAAACGAUUUGAACCCGAGGCAAAGCGACGAAUGUGCACCGACCGUGGACGCAGGGCUUUCCCCGCCCGGUGCACCGACAGUGACAGGCCAGGCUGGCAUUGAGCCUGAAUCACAGCCGUCUCCGAGCAUCAACACAAUGGAGGCUUUGAAUGAGGAUCUGUCGCUAGGUCCGGCGUUGUCGGAGAGCGGGGACGCCAGCGACUCUGAGUCGAGCACAGGCACUGAGCGGUCGGCAUCGGAGGUCGCCAGUGGGGUUUUGUUUGAACCCGGUCCGCCUGUUGCAGGAGGAAGUGAAGCGAUUCGCCGUCAGUCAAAAGAGACAUGUGACGAAUCUGCACUGGCCUCGGCUGAAACAAGCGUUGCCGCGCAGCCCGAGCAGGAUAAUUCCAAGAUGACAGCGGAGGAGAGGUCACCCAAUGAGGAUCAGGCCACGGAAGGAGCGCCACCUUCUCCGCGCGCUGAGAACGAAGUGACCGAAAACCUGAAGACUCCCGACACGGUGGACGCGGUGGAUGCGGUGGACGCGGUGGAUGCGGUGGACGGAGCAUUGCAAGGCCACAGCGGUGCAGACCGA